CUCAACAGUUGUUUAUGUUUUUAUUCAUAUACGCGGCCUAAUUUAUUUCAAUCUCGUUUUUCUUUAAUUUGUUAUUUAUAAAUACCUAGUUCUCACAAAACAUGUUCUGCAAAGCCGUAUUUUUACAACUGUAACCGAAAAGUGAAUUCGUGGUAAAAAUGCUCGUACAGCAAACAUUCCUCAACGCCAUGUAGGCCACCGAACGGGUCCCUUGAAAUGCAGAGUUCCUUCAACGCCCACUUUUCUGUCAACUAUUCAGAAACAACACAGCGGGUCACAUGCUCAACAUCUACAUCUUGGACUGUUGCAGGAGUGUUUACUCCAGAAAAGCACUCCGAAUUUAGUGCACUGUCUUCUCUACGGUUGCCAGUGAUGAAGCUUCUAAUUAUGUAUAGCUGUAAAUUAAUUUAUAAUGAUAUGCUGGAUACUGUCCUGGAGCUCAAUUUUACUCAUGAAUUGGAGGAGAAACAUACAUAAUAAUGGAGCACAGAGUUCUAAGUUUGGAAGCAUGUUUGGUCGCAUUUCCAGAUUUGAAUAUCUGAUAAGCAAUCGACUAUCACCUAGCACCGUCUCAUCGAGCAUGUAUGCGAUCUGCUCCAUUUACACCUCGGAGGUGAUUAUACGCUUCUAACUUCUGCAAUGACUUCCUGUGCUAUCUCGUAUUCGCCAAUGUGAAGCAGGAAUUGCUGGUGAAGAUAGUGGAGACGAUGCUGUGAAGGUGGUGCUGGAGUUGGCGAACCUGGCCUCGUCGACGAUUAUGCAGUUGAUUUGAGGGACUGAUUUUCGCUAAAAAUGAGAGAUAUUAUGCUGCAUCCAGGAUAAGGGAAAGUAUGCUGCAGUGUAAAAAUGUUAUUUGGUGGGAGCUUUGCAUAAAACGCAUAAAAUUAAAAAAAAAACCAUUCGUUUUUUAGGGUGAUUUUUGUUUUCAAUUCCACGGAAAAUAUUUUUUAAUGUCUGCAAAAAACUAAAAUUAUCUCGAGAAGUUAUUCCAAAUUUUCACUGAAAUUCACUAGGAAUUUUACCGGAAAUCUUUUAAAAAGUAAAAGGAAGAAUAUUUUUGGAUUUUAUCGGAUGAUUGAUUAUUAAUCGAGAAAUUAUACGAAAUUUCUUCGGAAUUACCUACGAAAGUAUAAGGGGAAGGCCUUUUGAAAAUGUGAACAUUUGGUUUACGUGGUCCCGUUGGAAUCCCGAAAGUGUUCUCAAAAGAAUUCAGGAAUCCCGCAGGUUUCGCCGUCGGAAUCCCGAAGGGUUUGCUGUUGGAAUCUCGAAGGGUUUGCCGUCGGAAUCCCGACAGAAUUCCCAUCGGAAUCCCGAAAGUAUUCCCGUCCGAAUCCGAAAUACGAGACACUGAAGACGGCCGUACUGUUGAGGUCGAAAAACGUAUCUGUCAAACGUACAAUCAAGUGGUGAAAUUAAAUGAUAAUGAUUAAUGACGAUAAGACCUGAUAGCAAUGAUGGCAACCGCAGGGUGGCAAUAUAAAUCUCUGCACGAGGUGGCCUUAUCGGGAUGCAAAUUACUGGCAUAUAAACUUAUUUAAUAAAUUUUCUUUCUGUAUUUUCGUUAAUACUUUUUUCACAACUCACAACAACAAUUUAAAUUCCUUCUAUUGAGGAAAUAGGUUUGCCAUUUUUUUUUCAGUAUAAUAUCAAACCAAAAUAUUUGAUAAGUUUUUCUGUUUUCAGUUUGUUAAUAUAUGGAGGAGGACCAACGCGCACUGGGAGUUUUCGAAAGGAAAAUGCUGCGUACCAUCUAUGGUGGGGUGAAAAUACAACGCCUGUUGUAGAUAGCAUUUUAACUGUUUCAAAUUUCAUUUCCUAUACAUACUCCCAUACAUUUUAUAACUCAACUAAAGAUGCCCUAACAUUACUAAAGAUGCCGUUACUAAAGAAGCCCUAAAGAAAUAGGUCUAUUCAAUUUUAAAAACGAAUUCAGAUUGCUUCCUAAAUAUAUUUUAAAACGAAAGAUUUUAUACAUACGUAGUUCCCUGUAGUUCCACUGGCCAAGUGGUGAAAUGAUGGUCGCCUGAGAGUUUAGCCGGUUGCGGUAAGAUCUGUCGCAUGGCGUGUGUUUGGAGGAAUCUUAAUAGAGCUUGAUUGCGUCUAUUCUCCUAGUUCGAACAUCGCAUGCGUAGCACACAGUGCCUAAAUACGGAGAAGGUCUGAUGGUGUUAUUUUCUAAAGUAACUAUUUUCAAUGCAUUAUAUACAGAGACAUAAACUAGAGUUUAACGCUAACACAGAAAGACAAAUUAUAAACUGAGAAUCAGAAUCGUUCAAUAACAGACAAA